ensembl:misc_RNA Y_RNA Y RNA
GGCUGGUCCAAAGGUAGUGAGUUAUCUCAACUGAUUGUUCACAGUCAGUACAGAUUGAACUCCUUGUUCUACUCUUUCCCCCCUUCUCACUAUUGCACUUGACUAGUCUUAA